UACAGGGGGUGCAAACGUUGCUCGGAAUUAUUGGGCGUAAAGCGCACGUAGGCGGUUUGUUAUGUCGGAUGUGAAAGCCCUUGGCUCAACUGAGGAAGUGCAUCCGAAACUGGCAAGCUAGAGUGUGGCAGAGGGGGGUGGAAUUCCACGUGUAGCAGUGAAAUGCGUAGAGAUGUGGAGGAACACCGAUGGCGAAGGCAGCCCCCUGGGCCAGCACUGACGCUCAUGCACGAAAGCGUGGGGAGCAAACAGG
rnacentral:rRNA from 1 species